CCCUUAGAUGAUUUGGGCUGCACGCGCGCUACACUGACCCUAACAAUGAACAACUGUCUGGCCUGAGAUGGCUGGGUAGCCUUUUCAACCCAUGUCAUGAUUGGGCUAGAUUUUUGUAAGUCUUGGUCUCUAACGAGGAAUCCCUAGUAUGCGUGAAUCAUCAAUCCAUGCAGAUUAUGUCCCUGCCCUUUGUACACACCGCCCGUCGCUCCUACUGAUUGGGCGAUCCGGUGAGCUGUUCGGCCAUAGCAAUGUUUCUUGAGCAGGGCAAUGAAUGUUUCGCAAACCUUGCCACUUAGAGGAAGGAGAAGUCGUAACA
rnacentral:rRNA from 1 species